rnacentral:rRNA from 1 species
GACAGAGGUGCCAAGCGUUAGGCGGAAUCACUGGGCUUAAAGCGUGUGUAGGCGGAUUGGGAAGUACCUUGUGAAAUCCCACGGCUCAACCGUGGAACUGCUUGGUAUACUGCUUAUCUUGGGCCACUUAGGGGCUACCGGAACAAACGGUGGAGCGGUGAAAUGCGUAGAUAUCGUGUGGAACGCCAAUGGUGAAAACAGGUAGCUGGGAGUGUGCCGACGCUGAGACACGAAAGCCAGGGGAGCGAACGGG